CCUACGGGAGGCAGCAGUGGGGAAUAUUGCGCAAUGGGCGAAAGCCUGACGCAGCGACGCCGCGUGAGGGAUGAAGGUCUUCGGAUCGUAAACCUCUGUCAGCAGGGAAGAACGGUCACUGUGCUAAUCAGCAGUGAAUUGACGGUACCUGCAAAGGAAGCACCGGCUAACUCCGUGCCAGCAGCCGCGGUAAAACGGAGGGUGCGAGCGUUACUCGGAAUUACUGGGCGUAAAGCGCUCGUAGGCGGUAUGUCAAGUCAAGGGUGAAAUCCCCGGGCUCAACGUGGGAACUGCCUUUGAAACUGGCAAACUGGAGUGUGUGAGAGGAUAGUGGAAUGCCAGGUGUAGGGGUGAAAUGCGUAGAUAUCUGGAGGAACAUCAGUGGCGAAGGCGACUAUCUGGCACAUAACUGACGCUGAGGAGCGAAAGCGUGGGUAGCAAACAGGAUUAGAUACCCUGGUAGUC
rnacentral:rRNA from 1 species